CGAACCCUAGCCGCCCCUGCCCUCCUCACGAACCCUAGCCGCCCCUGCCUUCCCCUCGAGCGCGAGCCGCGGCCGAUCUAGCCACCGGCGGGGUGCCGCGAGCAGCGGCCGGUCCAGCCACCGGCGUGCGGCGCAAGCAGCGGCCGGUCCAGCCGCCGGAGGGGCACGCGAGCAGCGGCCGGUCCAACCACCGGCGGGGCGACGGGAGCAGCGGCGUGACCUUGACCUCUCCAGGUUGCAGAGGUGGAAAGGAAGCAGAAGAGGGUGCCGUUCGACCAACCUCUCAGGACAAGCUGCUCACGGAGGUGCCCAAGUACAAGCGGACUAUGUUCUCUGUCCUCCCCUAGGCCAUUAACUCGUCCAGCAAGCAAGGCAAGUAAACUAGGUAACAACCAAGCUGAUUAGCACAGUUCCAAUUCCUGUGAGAUCCACUAUGACAAAGAUGACAAUGAGCAAGAAACUCGCAGGUUCCUAAGAAGGCAAGGAAGUCGAUCAAUAAAAAGACAUGAUGUCUGAAGAUAGAUAUGUUGUCUUUAUCUCUACCUUUCUUUACUAAACAUCAGUUGUGCUACUUGGAGAGAUGAUGAUAACAUUGAUUUUCAUGCUAUUAUGGCUGCAUACCCUUUUGAACUGCAACUUGGAUUGCAAUCUUUAGGAGCCUUUGUGGUUGCUCCAUUAAUUCUCAUACAUCUUUUUCCAUGGUAGGAAACCUGUCAGUCGAACAAGGAGAACCGUUUCGAAGUUAAGUUCCAUCAGAAAACUGGUUCUCGCCCCUACAUUUCUCAUGUGCAUGCUUUGAAAGAGGCUCGUAAGGGUGAAGAGUUGACUUUGUUUGAUCUAUUCAAGGAGUGCCACAAUGGCAAGAAGACUGAUUUCUCUAAGCCAGUUAAGAAGGCGAUAGCAAGUUUCUACUAUUCUUUUCUGUGUUGAUGAGGCUUGUUUACCUCAUCCUUGUUACACUUGAUUACAUUAUAUGACUUCUGAUCGACAGAUUUGAUAGAGAUGGGUUGUUCAAAGUAGUACAGUAUAUGAUUCAUGUUUUGU